rnacentral:misc_RNA from 1 species
GAUGAAGAACGUAGUGAAAUGCGAUACUUGGUGUGAAUUGCAGAAUCCCGUGAACCAUCGAGUCUUUGAACGCAAGUUGCGCCCGAAGCCAUUAGGCCGAGGGCACGCCUGCCUGGGCGUCACACGUCGUUGCCCCCCCAUCUACUCCUUCGGGAUUGCGGGGGGCGGAUGAUGGCCUCCCGUGCGCCUCGUCGCGCGGUUGGCAUAAAUGCCAAGUCCUCGGCGACGCACGCCACGACAAUCGGUGGUUGCGAAACCUCGGUUGCCCGUCGUGUGCGGUCGUCGCGCAUCGAGGGCUCGAAAAAAUUGCCGGGCUCCGGCUCGGCUUUCAACGCGACCCCAGGUCAGGCGGGGUUACCCGCUGAAUUUAAGCAUAUCAAUAAGCGGAGGA